AGAGAGAGACAUGCGCGCAUAUCAAUAAGCGGAGGAAAAGAAACUAACUAGGAUUCCCUCAGUAACGGCGAGUGAAGCGGGAAGAGCUCAAAUUUGAAAUCUUCAAGGUUCUACCUUGACGAAUUGUAGUUUAAAGAAGUGUUUUCUGUUGGAGUUUUGGUAAAAGUUCUUUGGAAUAGGACAUCAUAGAGGGUGAGAAUCCCGUAUUUGACCAUUAUUUCCAGCUUUGUGAUACACUUUCAAGGAGUCGGAUUGUUUGGGAAUGCAGUCCAAAAUGGGUGGUAAAUUUCAUCUAAAGCUAAAUAUUGGCGAGAGACCGAUAGCGAACAAGUACCGUGAGGGAAAGAUGAAAAGAACUUUGAAAAGAGAGUUAAACAGUACGUGAAAUUGUCAAAAGGGAAGCGUUUGACACCAGUGUUGUUUUCUCGAAAAUCAAUUAAAAAAGGCAGGAUUUUGUGUUGUAUUGACUUUAUCAGCUCUCUGCACUCUUUUCUUGUCUUUUUUAAUGCACUUUUCGUUUAACAAGUCAACAUCAAUUUCUUUUGUUGUAAAAGGGUCAUUGGAAGGUGGCUUUCUUUUCGGAGAAAGUGUUUAUAGCCUUUGGCCUCUGCAAUCGGAGAGAUUGAGGUCUGCAGCGUAGAUCCUUCGGGGUUAGAUACAUUUGUGCUAAGUUAUAGCCUUUCAUAGACAACUUGUUGACUAUGAUCAGUCAUGUAGCUUACUCGCUUAUGCUAUUUUACCUACGCUUAGGAUGUUGAUGUGAUACUGCGAGC
rnacentral:rRNA from 1 species